rnacentral:rRNA from 1 species
AUGCUAGUCACCACCACUCACUCCCGCGCGAGAUGCAGGAGAGCGCACACGAGGCAGCCGCAGCUCGGCCUCUCCAUCUUCUCCGGUCGCUGCAAACCAUGGUGGAAGGUGGGCGGACGAGCUCCUCGCCAUCUUCUCCGCCCGCUGCAGGGAGAGAAGGGAACGGGCAGCUGGAGAUGGAGCAACGCCGGUCGCCUCCGGGUGCGGCGGCUCUGGCGAGAUAGGAAGAGUGGAGGGAGGCGGCAGCUGCGCUGGGAGUAG